GAGAGAGAGAGAAAGAGAGACAUCAGCUGGCUACCUCCAGCAGGGCCCCCAUCAGAGGACAGGGAGCCAACCCAGGCAUGCACCCUUGACCAGGAAUUGAACCUGCGACCCUUGGAGCACAGCUGAUGCUCUAACCACUGAACACACUGGCCUGGGCAAGAAGUGGAACUUCCCUCAAUCAAAGGAUAUGUGCAUUUUAAUUUCUACAGCUACGGCCCAGUGCCCUUCAAAAAGCUGGUAUCAUCCCCACACCCGUAAACAGUGUGUGUGAGGAUGGCAAGGACCCCGUGUGCCAGGGGAAGCAAAUCCAAAUGGGAUAAACCUGCCAGUAAUUUCAGCGAAUGAAACGCAGAUCCUGGAAAGGCCAGAGGAUGGAAAACGCUCCAGUUUUGAUAAAAGGAGGCCUGCUCUGCCUCCAGUCCUCCCUCCUGCUGGUCAGGAGGCGCAAAGAGGAGCUGAUGAAUUGAGGGAGAAGAAACCAGGCCAGUGUGAGUCGCCUUUCAAGGGCUGUGCUGAUAUACAAGCCCAACAUCCUGACACUGGUCCAAGAGGGGAUUAAAGCAACAUGCUAUUGUGAGUGAUUGCUUAAUUUAUGGAGCUGUGGCAAGAUCUGUAAUGAAACACAGCCCUUGCAACUGAUAACCUCCGGCUGCAAUUGAACUUGACAAUUAAGGAAUAUUUUCCAAGGAUUUUUCUGGAACAGCUUAGAAUUUUUUGCCUCUGUGGUGGGGUGCUUCUGAGCACUCAUUUUGCCAGGCAAGCUUUUUUCUUUUCUUUUUUUAGGAAUGAAAGGCUGAUGUCAAUAGGAAAUAAGCAUCACUUUUUUGACUGCCUUGUGCACACCAGGCACUUAUUACACUUUAUCUCUAAUCCUGACAACGGCCCAACGAAGGAACUCUUAUUCGUCCCUAUUUUACAGGUAGGAGGUUUCUAGGUGUUCAGUAACUUCCCCAAGUGACAUUGUCCAAGUCUGGGGCUACUAGCCAUUGGUGGCUAUUUACGCCUAAAUUAAUUAAAAUUUUAAAAAUCAAAGAAAUUCACUUCCUAGGUUGCACUAGUAGCUAGCGCAGGUGCCCACUCCCCAGGUGUGGCUGGUGGGUACCACACUGGACAGCUCAGAUACGGACCAUUUCGAUGACUGUGGAAAGUUCUCGUGAUCAGUGCUGUCCCAGAAUGUUCACAGGUAGAAGUCCAACCCCUUGUUUCAAAAUUCUACCGUUACCCCUUGCUUCUUGCUUCUCUUCCUGGGGCUGAGAAGUAAGGACUAGAGCUGUGAGACUAAACCCUGGCUGCACAUUCACGUUACCUGGGCUGCUUUAAAAAAUAUUGAUGAUACGGUCCCAGCCCUGGAGAUUCUGACUUUACUGUGAUCGGGGGGUGGGGAGGUGGGGAGACAAGCAUGAGGGGCUCUUUAAUUCCCCAUGUGUACAGCCAGGAUUGAGAGCAGCCAGGAGAGUGGGUCCACACACAGUAAGGUGGGAAGAACUGGCUCAUCUCCCAGCAGAAUGGGGUCGCUGUGGACCCAGAAGUGGGCUUCCCCCAGGCCUGCAUCUGAUAUGAGGUUUCUAGGUGUUCAGUAACUUCCAUUGGACGGCCCGGGGUCCUUCCUGCAGGCAGGGAAGACUUGAGUGCUUUCUCACACGUGUCCCGCUCAGUGGAGACAUGGUGAGGAGCUCUGCUUUCAGGAACAGGCCCUGUCACGCCACCACGGAAGAAAGGAGAUGGGAUGCGCGACCACAGGGACAAAGUGGGGUCUGCAGCCCCACCUUUGGAGUGGGAGCCUCGGGACGAGCCCAUGCUGUAAUCUGCCUGACAGAAUAAAAGUGUUUCCCAGCUCUGUCAACAAAGACAUUGCAAGGGAAGAAAAAGGGAGGGAGUGAGAACCUGCAGAUUGAGAGAGACGUAAGAGACACAUCAACCAAUCCCAAUGGAUGGAAAGGGUUAGAAAUACUGACCAAUCCCGUCACAGUGAGCACCGCCAGCACUCAGAUUAGGGUCUCUACGCACCACCUCUGACGAGAAACCGGGGUUCUGUGCAGAGACAGCCGAUCCCUGGUCUGAGGCAGGACGUGUGCAAGAGGAGCCUGGAACGUCCUGUCACCAGGGAGCGUGGAAGCUCUGGGAGGCUCUGGAUCAUGCCCGGAAAGAUGAAGGGGACAAUGUGAUAGGACAGCUGGCCAGAUGGGACAGUGGAGCAUCAAUAAGAACAGUAACUGCACUGGACUGGAAUGUGUUAGAUAUGUCCAAUCUAAGAGUUCACAACGAUACCUAGAAAAAAAAGCAUAAACUCAUUUGUCAUCUUUGGGGGAUGUUGAGAAACCAACUCAUCAUGUUGAAAAUUGUGAAAUAAAAGGAAAGAGUCAAGUAUUUUUUCUUUCUGGUAUGAAUCGUACCUUACAGUAACCAAACAGCUGAUAAAGGAAGUGUCUUUUUACGGAGGUAUUCCAGCUAACACACAAACACAGAAGGAUAGGAUUUAUUUGCCACUAUUUUGCAACCUCUAAUGGGUCCAGACAGUGAUCAUCGAUGCUGCUAACAUCACCAGACAUUCUGUGCCUUCAAAUGGAAAUCCAACACAGCCACUAGGAAAUCAUCAUAAACACACACAUACACACACAAGCAUUAAUCUAAGUAGCUUCUAGAUCUAAUUACUGAUUUACAAGAAAUAUACAGGGGAGAGGAACAUGUAUAAUACCAAUAUGGUGAUGCAAUAGGCAAAGUCCAGACUGUAGGACACUCUACAGACAAACCAACCCAGCUUCUCAACAAAGACAUUGCAAGGGAAGAAAAGGAGGGAGAGAGAACCCGCAGAUUGAGAGAGAUGUAACAGACACAUCAACCAAUCCCAAUCCCAGUGGAAGGAACUUGUAUGGGUCCCAAUUUUAUCCAACUGUAAAGAAAACAUUUAUGAAACAACCAAAGAAUUUUGAACACUGAGUAGAUAUUUGCUGAUAUUAAAGCAUUACUGUUAGUUUUAGUAGGGGUUAUGAUGGGACAAACCCCACUCCUCUUUUGGAGUCAUAUACGAAAAUAUUCGCAAAAGAAAUGAUUUCUGUCUGAAUUUUGCUUCUAAAUAUCUGAGAUGAAAGAGGAGGAGAACGGGUAUAGAUGGAGUAAGACUGGCUGAGAGUUGGUGGUUGUUGAAGCUGGGAGAUGGGUAGUUGGGGUUCUUUGUACCACAUUGCUCUUGUGUCUGCUUAAAGUGUUUCAUAAUAAAAGUAAAUUUAAAAGUGAA